AAAAUAUCAGAUUGCAUAUUGAUCAUAUUGUUGUAACAGGUUUCCUUCGUUUCUCCCUUUCUCAAAAGUAAUAAUACGUAGAUUUUUUUUCUUCACAUAUUUAACUCACAAGACAAAAGAUAUAAAUUUUAAUCUAGCAUUAAGUUGAGCUUAAACUAGAAAUAGAUGGAAAAAUAUACAAAACACUUCAUUAACUUGGCCUGCUUACAACACCCAGAAGCUAAGAGAAAAGAGAGAAUUAAACUAGUCAGCUAGUCAUCUAAAAGUAGCUCAAGAAAAGUUUGGGGAGGGGGGAGGUAAUAGUUAAGUUGAUAGAAUUUACAAGCAAAAGAAACCAAAGUUGCCAUUGUCAAAGUUGAGAGCAUAGCUUAAAGGAUCAUAGUGGAAAGUACUCAACUUGUUGCUCUUCUUCUUCUGGUUCAAGAAUUGAGUUCUGAGCUUCAAGAAAAUGCUCUUGAACUUCCUCUUUUUAUACAAAAACACCAAUCUUGAAUUACAACACACCUCAACUACUAAUCCCAUAUCUACAUCAAAGCUCUGAAAUUCCACACUCAACAUAUAUAGAAUCUCUAUUGCUAAGGUCAAAAACCAAAGCCAAGAAAAUAUAGGGUGAGUACUGAAGUGUACAGAAGAGAUGAAGGGACUUAAGAAAGAAUUGAGGAGAAUAUGGUUUUGGUUUGUUGUGUGUGUUUUAUUAGUCUGAGAAAUAAGGGGAGUUUUGGCUUUGUAGCAGUGCAGAGCAACAGACUGAGAGAGCAGCAGCUGCUUUGUGCUGUCGCUAGCUGCUGAGUGACUGAGCGCUGUCUAUCAA
rnacentral:lncRNA from 1 species